CUUUCGACCGGCCCAUAAAGCAGGGACAGCGGCCCAUUGGUUCAUUUUCCAUACUGACACUGGGCUGGCCCAAUCAUCUCUUAGCGAGCUCCACCCCUCCCUCUCCGUGUGUCAGUCAGAUGCAUUCAGUGACUCAGAGCUAGAAAGAAAUGUGUGGAUUAAGAUGGAGAAACAAAAACGUAAGAACAAGGGGGGGGUGCGGAGAAAUUGACGGCCAAAAAAAAAUCUAAAGGUUGAUGCCUCAACAUGUUCAAAAAUAACCGACGUGUUUAGUGCUGUAGCUUCAGUUUCCAAAACUACUACAGAACCUGACGACAUGUUGCAGAAACAGCAGGUGAACACAGCACAUGGAGGAGGAGAGGUGACUAGCCACAGCGAUAGCUUGUGGUUCGCAGGCAGCAGAGGAGAAGGUGCAGCAGGUGUCAGUGUGACAGUGAAGUCCAGGAGGGGCAGAGUGAGCAGGAGAGUGUCAUUGAAACGCCUCGUGCAGCCCCCACUCAGGACCCACAAACACCGUGUGAGUAAUGCACACAGGCUGCCCGCAGGCCUUUAUGACAAAGAGGUGAUGGGUCCGUUUAAACCACAGCCAUGGCAGGAGAGGAUGCUGCUUACAAAGGGGGG